rnacentral:misc_RNA from 1 species
AAAAGGUUCCUGGUAUUGUCUUCGCACGGGGUCCAGCUGUUGCAGUUCUAAUCCUUUUGGAUUAUGAGGGUGAGACAUAUGCUGUGCUUACGGAACAGGUUAGGGUCCCAGUUGGGAGGCUAAUUUUGGAAUUGCCAGCAGGAAUGUUGGAUGAUGACCAAGGCGACUUUGCUGGAACAGCAGUUCGAGAAGUUGAGGAAGAAACUGGAAUACACCUGAAUGUCCAUGAUAUGGUCGAUCUCACGGCUUUUCUUGACGCGUCAACUGGGGGCAGAGUUUUUCCUUCUCCUGGUGGAUGUGAUGAGGAGAUGAGUUUGUUUCUCUACAGAGGAAAUGUCAGCAAAGAGAAAAUCCAACAACUGCAAGGGAAAGAAACCGGACUACGAGACCAUGGUGAGCUGAUCAAAGUGCAUGUGGUUCCAUAUGAUAAACUAUGGCGUGCCACAGCUGAUGCAAAGGCUCUGACCGCCAUUGCUCUCUAUGAGAUGGCUAAAAGAGAUGGACUGUUGUCUUGAUCGACGAGUUAAUAAUUUCUCCUCCAUUAUAUAACAACUUACGAUUGUAUGCUUUGCUGAAAAGAUGACGACUCUCUAUUUUAGGCAAGUCUGCUUCUACAGUAUGAGCAUUCCUAGGUGAACGCUCCGGGUAAUUGCAUCUACUGUUGCUUGGUAUUGAAUUUUUGUAUAUUAGACGCAACUGUUCUGCAUAGAACAGAAUUUUACUGUUUCGAAAAAGAA